rnacentral:lncRNA from 1 species
GGGAACCUUACUAGGACUGAUUGGUGACCGGAUUGUAGCUGGAGCUGAUGCAGGAGCAAGGUUUGAAGCAGAAGUGGUCUCGGUUGCUUGUCUCUUCCAGCGCACACUUUCCUCCAACCCGCGAACUGAUUUUCUCCUCAGUGGAAGCUUCAUCUUCGGAACCAUUUGCGCAAGCAGAAAUAGCAAGAAACUUAGGAGAGCAAAUGUGAGGGAGA